GAUGAACGCUGGCGGCGUGCCUAAUACAUGCAAGUCGAGCGAACAGACGAGGAGCUUGCUCCUUCGACGUUAGCGGCGGACGGGUGAGUAACACGUAGGUAACCUACCUAUAAGACUGGGAUAACUUCGGGAAACCGGAGCUAAUACCGGAUAAUAUUUCGAACCGCAUGGUUCGAUAGUGAAAGAUGGCUUUGCUAUCACUUAUAGAUGGACCUGCGCCGUAUUAGCUAGUUGGUAAGGUAACGGCUUACCAAGGCAACGAUACGUAGCCGACCUGAGAGGGUGAUCGGCCACACUGGAACUGAGACACGGUCCAGACUCCUACGGGAGGCAGCAGUAGGGAAUCCUCCGCAAUGGGCGAAAGCCUGACGGAGCAACGCCGCGUGAGUGAUGAAGGUCUUCGGAUCGUAAAACUCUGUUAUUAGGGAAGAACAAACGUGUAAGUAACUGUGCACGUCUUGACGGUACCUAAUCAGAAAGCCACGGCUAACUACGUG
rnacentral:rRNA from 1 species